rnacentral:misc_RNA from 1 species
AAGGAUCAUUAAUAAACCUAGUCGUUCGCGUACAUAGGGGCAACCCUCGCGUGAUGUCAGCAAUACCUAGGUAACCCUUGAAUAAACUACCCUUGUUGCUUUGGCGGGCCGCCGUCUCGGCCAGCGGCUUCAGCUGCUGCGCGCCCGCCAGAGGACCACAACUCUUGUUUUUAGUGAUGUCUGAGUACUAUAUAAUAGUUAAAACUUUCAACAACGGAUCUCUUGGUUCUG